rnacentral:rRNA from 1 species
CAGUCGCCGCGGUAAUACGGAGGGGGCUAGCGUUGUUCGGAAUUACUGGGCGUAAAGCGCACGUAGGCGGCUUGGUAAGUUAGAGGUGAAAGCCCGGAGCUCAACUCCGGAAUUGCCUUUAAGACUGCCGAGCUAGUAGGUGAGAGAGGUAAGUGGAAUUCCGAGUGUAGAGGUGAAAUUCGUAGAUAUUCGGAAGAACACCAGUGGCGAAGGCGGCUUACUGGCUCAUUCUAGACGCUGAGGUGCGAAAGCGUGGGGAGCAAACAGGAUUAGAGACCCGUGUAGUCCCUGUCUCUUAUAC